AGAUACCCUGGUAGUCCAUGCCGUAAACGAUGAUUGCUAGGUGUGGGGGGUCUGACCCCUUCCGUGCUGGAGUUAACACAAUAAGCAAUCCACCUGGGGAGUACGACCGCAAGGUUGAAACUCAAAGGAAUUGACGGGGGCCCGCACAAGCAGUGGAGUAUGUGGUUUAAUUCGAAGCAACGCGAAGAACCUUACCAGGUCUUGACAUCCACCGAAUCCUGUAGAGAUACGGGAGUGCCCUUCGGGGAGCGGUGAGACAGGUGGUGCAUGGUUGUCGUCAGCUCGUGUCGUGAGAUGUUGGGUUAAGUCCCGCAACGAGCGCAACCCUUGUGAAUAGUUGCUACGAAAGAGCACUCUAUUCAGACCGCCGUUGACAAAACGGAGGAAGGUGGGGAUGACGUCAAAUCAUCAUGCCCCUUAUGACCUGGGCUACACACGUACUACAAUGGUCGUUAACAGAGGGAAGCAAGGCCGCGAGGUGGAGCGAACCCCUAAAAACGAUCUCAGUUCAGAUUGCAGGCUGAAACUCGCCUGCAUGAAGAUGGAAUUGCUAGUAAUCGCGGAUCAGCAUGCCGCGGUGAAUACGUUCCCGGGCCUUGUACACACCGCCCGUCACACCAUGAGAGCCGGGGACACCCGAAGUCGGUUGGGUAACCGUAAGGAGCCCGCCGCCGAAGGUGGAAUCGGUAAUUGGGGUGAAGUCGUAACAAGGUAACCAAGCC
rnacentral:rRNA from 1 species